UGGGGAAUAUUGCACAAUGGGCGCAAGCCUGAUGCAGCCAUGCCGCGUGUGUGAAGAAGGCCUUCGGGUUGUAAAGCACUUUCAGCGGGGAGGAAGGCGGUGAGGUUAAUAACCUCAUCGAUUGACGUUACCCGCAGAAGAAGCACCGGCUAACUCCGUGCCAGCAGCCGCGGUAAUACGGAGGGUGCAAGCGUUAAUCGGAAUUACUGGGCGUAAAGCGCACGCAGGCGGUCUGUUAAGUCAGAUGUGAAAUCCCCGGGCUCAACCUGGGAACUGCAUCUGAUACUGGCAAGCUUGAGUCUCGUAGAGGGGGGUAGAAUUCCAGGUGUAGCGGUGAAAUGCGUAGAGAUCUGGAGGAAUACCGGUGGCGAAGGCGGCCCCCUGGACGAAGACUGACGCUCAGGUGCGAAAGCGUGGGGAGCAAACAGG
rnacentral:rRNA from 1 species